GAUGAAGAACGUAACGAAAUGCGAUAAGUAAUGUGAAUUGCAGAAUUCAGUGAAUCAUCGAAUCUUUGAACGCACAUUGCGCCCGCCAGUAUUCUGGCGGGCAUGCCUGUUCGAGCGUCAUUUCAACCAUCAAGCCCCAGGCUUGUGUUGGGGACCUGCGGCUGCCGCAGGCCCUGAAAACCAGUGGCGGGCUCGCUGUCACACCGGGCGUAGUAGAUUUUAUCUCGCUCAGGGCGUGCUGCGGGUCCCGGCCGUUAAAAGCCUUUUUUUACCCAAGGUUGACCUCGGAUCAGGUAGGAAGACCCGCUGAACUUAAGCAUAUCAAUAAGCGGAGGA
rnacentral:misc_RNA from 1 species